AGAGUUUGAUCAUGGCUCAGGAUGAACGCUGGCGGCGUGCCUAACACAUGCAAGACGAGCGAUUCUCUUCCGGAGAAGAGCGGCGGACGGGUGAGUAACGCGUGGGUAACCUGCCCUGUACACACGGAUAACAUACCGAAAGGUAUGCUAAUACGAGAUAAUAUGCUUUUAUCGCAUGGUAGAAGUAUCAAAGCUUUUGCGGUACAGGAUGGACCCGCGUCUGAUUAGCUAGUUGGUAAGGUAACGGCUUACCAAGGCGACGAUCAGUAGCCGACCUGAGAGGGUGAUCGGCCACAUUGGAACUGAGACACGGUCCAAACUCCUACGGGAGGCAGCAGUGGGGAAUAUUGCACAAUGGGCGAAAGCCUGAUGCAGCAACGCCGCGUGAGCGAUGAAGGCCUUCGGGUCGUAAAGCUCUGUCCUCAAGGAAGAUAAUGACGGUACUUGAGGAGGAAGCCCCGGCUAACUACGUGCCAGCAGGCGCGGUAAUACGUAGGGGGCUAGCGUUAUCCGGAAUUACUGGGCGUAAAGGGUGCGUAGGUGGUUUCUUAAGUCAGAGGUGAAAGGCUACGGCUCAACCGUAGUAAGCCUUUGAAACUGGGAAACUUGAGUGCAGGAGAGGAGAGUGGAAUUCCUAGUGUAGCGGUGAAAUGCGUAGAUAUUAGGAGGAACACCAGUUGCGAAGGCGGCUCUCUGGACUGUAACUGACACUGAGGCACGAAAGCGUGGGGAGCAAACAGGAUUAGAUACCCUGGUAGU
rnacentral:rRNA from 1 species